UUGAUUUAGAAAUUAGGAUAACAAGAAUUUUUUUUUGUUUAUAGAUGAGAAUUUGUUUUAGAUUUUUUGAGCAAUUGUUGUAUUUUUUUCAAAAUAAUUCUCAAAAAUUCUAUUUUAGGAAAGUUUUCAUUUUCUAAAGAAUUAUUGUAGAUUGGGGGUUGUGAUUUAGAAACUAGGAAAACAAGAACUUUUGCGGACAAAUGAGUAUUUCUUUUUAAUUUUUUGAUCAAUAGGUUUUAUAUUUUAGAUAAAAUUCUCGAAAAUUCUAUUUUAUGAAAGUUUUCAUUUUUGUGAGUAAUAGUGUGGAUUUGGGGUUUUGAUUUAGAAAUUAGGAUAACAAGAAUUUUUUUUUAUUUAUAGAUGAGUAUUAUUUUUGAUUUUUUGAUCAAUAGUUGUAUUUUUUAAAAAUAAUUCUCAGAAAUUCUAUUUUAGGAAAGUUUUCAUUUUUUUAGAAAUAUUGUAGAUUGGGGGUUGUGAUUUAGAAACUACGAUAACAAGAAUUUUUGUGGAUAGAUGAGUAUUUUAUUAGAUUUUUUUAUCAAUAGGUUUUAUAUUUUAGAUAAAAUUCUUAAAAAUUCUAUUUUAGGAAAGUUUUCAUUUUUGUGAAUAAUAGUGUGGAUUUGGGGUUUUUAUUUAGAAAUUAGGAUAACAAUAAUUUUUUUGUUUAUAGACGAGUAUUCUUUUAGAUUUUUUGAUCAAUAGUUGUAGUUUUUUAAAAAUAAUUCUCAAAAAUUAUAUUUUAGGAAAGUUUUCAUUUUUAUAGAAAUAUUGUAGAUUUUAAGUUGUGAUUUAGAAAUUAGGAUAACAAGAAUUUUUGUUGAUAGAUGAGUAUUUUUUUUUUUAGAUUUUUUGAUCAAUAAGUUGUAUAUUUUACAUAAAAUUCUUAAAAAUUCUAUUUUAAGAAAGUUUUAGUUUUUCGGAAUAAUAGUGUGGAUUUGGGGUUUUGAUUUAGAAAUUAGGAUAACAAGAAAUGUUUUGUUUAUAGAUGAGUAUUCUUUUAGAUUUUUUGAGCAAUAGUUGUAUUUUUU
rnacentral:lncRNA from 1 species